CUGGUGUCAGCCGCCGCGGUAAUACCAGCACCUCGAGUGGUCAGGACGUUUAUUGGGCCUAAAGCAUCCGUAGCCGGCUCUGCAAGUCUUCGGUUAAAUCCACCUGCUCAACAGAUGGGCUGCUGGAGAUACUACAGAGCUAGGGAGUGGGAGAGGUACACGGUACUCGAUAGGAAGGGGUAAAAUCCUUUGAUCUGUUGAUGACCACCUGUGGCGAAGGCGGUGUACCAGAACACGUUCGACGGUGAGGGAUGAAAGCUGGGGGAGCAAACCGGAUUAGAUACCCGGGUAGUCCCAGCUGUAAACGAUGCAAACUCGGUGAUGCAUUGGCUUGUGGCCAAUGCAGUGCCGCAGGGAAGCCGUUAAGUUUGCCGCCUGGGAAGUACGUACGCAAGUAUGAAACUUAAAG
rnacentral:rRNA from 2 species